rnacentral:rRNA from 1 species
AGGGAAUCUUCGGCAAUGGACGAAAGUCUGACCGAGCAACGCCGCGUGAGUGAAGAAGGUUUUCGGAUCGUAAAACUCUGUUGUUAGAGAAGAACAAGGAUGAGAAGAGAAUGUUCAUCCCUUGACGGUAUCUAACCAGAAAGCCACGGCUAACUACGUGCCAGCAGCCGCGGUAAUACGUAGGUGGCAAGCGUUGUCCGGAUUUAUUGGGCGUAAAGCGAGCGCAGGCGGUUCUUUAAGUCUGAUGUGGAAGCCCCCGGCUUAACCGGGGAGGGUCAUUGGAAACUGGGGAACUUGAGUGCAGAAGAGGAGAGUGGAAUUCCAUGUGUAGCGGUGAAAUGCGUAGAUAUAUGGAGGAACACCAGUGGCGAAGGCGGCUUACUGGACUGUAACUGACGCUGAGGCAUGAAAGCGUGGGGAGCAAAC